GAUGAACGCUGGCGGCGUGCCUAACACAUGCAAGUCGAGCGAAUGGAUUAAGAGCUUGCUCUUAUGAAGUUAGCGGCGGACGGGUGAGUAACACGUGGGUAACCUGCCCAUAAGACUGGGAUAACUCCGGGAAACCGGGGCUAAUACCGGAUAACAUUUUGAACCGCAUGGUUCGAAAUUGAAAGGCGGCUUCGGCUGUCACUUAUGGAUGGACCCGCGUCGCAUUAGCUAGUUGGUGAGGUAACGGCUCACCAAGGCAACGAUGCGUAGCCGACCAGAGAGGGUGAUGGGCCACACUGGGACUGAGACACGGCACAGACUCCUACGGGAGGCAGCAGUAGGGAAUCUUCCGUAAUGGACGAAAGGCUGACGGAGCAACGCCGCGUGAGUGAUGAAGGCUUUCGGGUCGUAAAACUCUGUUGUUAGGGAAGAACAAGUGCUAGUUGAAUAAGCUGGCACCUUGACGGUACCUAACCAGAAAGCCACGGCUAACUACGUGCCAGCAGCCGCGGUAA
rnacentral:rRNA from 1 species